rnacentral:rRNA from 1 species
CUACGGGAGGCAGCAGUAGGGAAUAUUGGACAAUGGGUGCGAGCCUGAUCCAGCCAUGCCGCGUGCAGGAAGACGGCCUUCUGGGUUGUAAACUGCUUUUGCCAGGGGAUAAAAAGUCCCUGCGGGGAAAAUUGAAGGUACCUGGUGAAUAAGCCACGGCUAACUACGUGCCAGCAGCCGCGGUAAUACGUAGGUGGCAAGCGUUGUCCGGAUUUAUUGGGUUUAAAGGGUGCGUAGGCGGUCAUGUAAGUCAGUGGUGAAAUACUUCAGCUUAACUGGAGAGGUGCCAUUGAUACUGUGUGACUUGAGUACAGACGAGGUAGGCGGAAUUGACGGUGUAGCGGUGAAAUGCUUAGAUAUCGUCAAGAACACCGAUAGCGAAGGCAGCUUACUAGACUGUAACUGACGCUGAUGCACGAAAGCGUGGGUAGCGAACAGGAUUAGAAACCCCGGUAGUCC